rnacentral:rRNA from 1 species
GACGAACGCUGGCGGCGCGCCUAACACAUGCAAGUCGAACGGAGGCAAGAGGAGCUUGCUUUUCUUGACUUAGUGGCGAACGGGUGAGUAACGCGUGAGUAACCUGCCCUGGAGUGGGGGACAACAGUUGGAAACGACUGCUAAUACCGCAUAAGCCCACGGAUCCGCAUGGAUAUGCGGGAAACGGAUUUAUUCGCUUCAGGAUGGACUCGCGUCCAAUUAGCUAGUUGGUGAGGUAACGGCCCACCAAGGCGACGAUUGGUAGCCGGCCUGAGAGGUUGGGCCGCCACUGUGGGACUGGGACGCAGCCGAGACUCCUACGGGAGGCAGCAGUGGGUGAUAUAGCACAAUGGGGGAAACCCUGAUGCAGCUACGCUGCGUGGAGGAAGAAGGUUUUCGGAUUGUAAACUCCUGUCGUUAGGGACGAUAAUGACGGUACCUAACAAGAAAGCACCGGCUAACUACGUG